rnacentral:rRNA from 1 species
CCUACGGGCGGCAGCAGUGGGGAAUAUUGCACAAUGGGGGAAACCCUGAUGCAGCGACGCCGCGUGAGUGAAGAAGUAUCUCGGUAUGUAAAGCUCUAUCAGCAGGGAAGAAAAUGACGGUACCUGACUAAGAAGCCCCGGCUAACUACGUGCCAGCAGCCGCGGUAAUACGUAGGGGGCAAGCGUUAUCCGGAUUUACUGGGUGUAAAGGGAGCGUAGACGGCGCUGCAAGUCCGGAGUGAAAGCCCAUGGCUUAACCAUGGUACUGCUCUGGAAACUGUGGAGCUUGAGUGCGGGAGGGGCAGGCGGAAUUCCGAGUGUAGCGGUGAAAUCCGUAGAUAGCUGGAGGAACAUCAGUGGCGAAGGCGACUAUCCGGCACAUAACUGACGCUGAGGAGCGAAAGCGUGGGUAGCAAACAGGAUUAGAUACCCGAGUAGUC